ensembl:lncRNA
GGACCGAACCCGUGCCUGCCCCCUGCAUUGGAAGCAUGGAGUCUUAACCACUGGACUACCAGGGGAGUCCCUGAGCGGCACUCUUCAGUCAUGGCCACUGCCGCGAGUCCCCAGGAUCAAGGCUCCUGGGCGGGAUGGUCCCUGUGAGGACAAUACCACACACUCAGCGCACACCCAGAUCCCUUCAGCCUAUGCCAGUUACUUCCAGCUGCCAGUAGCCAUGUCCUUCUGCCCGAUGACUUUCUGGUCGCUUGCUCACCAGACAAAAGAUGAUGUGAUGACAAAGCAGAACAGAAAGAAACUUGAAGAUGCUACGCUGCUCCCUUUGGAGAUGGAAGACAGAGUCUUGGACCAGGAGAUGCAGGAAAAGGCGAGGAAACAUUCUCCCCUGGAGCCUCUAAAAGGAACCAGCACCUUGACUCUAGCCCAGGGAAACUGACUUUGGAUUUCUGGCCUCCAAAACUGAAAGAGAACACAUUGGUGUUGAGCUAAGCCACUGCAUUUAUGGUGG